rnacentral:rRNA from 1 species
UACGUAGGGGGCAAGCGUUGUCCGGAAUUAUUGGGCGUAAAGCGCGCGCAGGCGGCAGUUUAAGUCUGAUGUUUAAUCCGCGGGCUCAACCCGUGUUCGCAUCGGAAACUGGGCUGCUUGAGUGCAGGAGAGGAAAGUGGAAUUCCACGUGUAGCGGUGAAAUGCGUAGAGAUGUGGAGGAACACCAGUGGCGAAGGCGACUUUCUGGCCUGUAACUGACGCUGAGGCGCGAAAGCGUGGGGAGCAAACAGG